AUGGUGGGAUAUGCUCAAGGAGCUAAAGCAUGGAGAUUUCUGGAUAAGGAUGGGUCUGUAGUAAUUUCCAGAUCUGCUAACUUUGCCUGUUCUCAGAGUUGGGAUAGAAUUCAUGCUAACCAAGAGGUGUUCCUUCCAAUUUCCAAUGAGGCACCUCAUGAGGAGACACAAGCUUCAGAGCAGGAAAGUGCUGCUGCAGGAACUCCUGCUUCUCCUCAACUCACAAGUAGACCUGUGACUAAGAGAUUUAAAAGAUCUAGGUCAUCAGAUGAGGAUGAAGUAAAGGAAGAACAGGGAGAUCCUGGGGAUGAAACUAGCCAAAGAACAGGCCUUAGGAGAACAAGAAUAAGAAAGGCUCCUGAUAGAUUUAAAAAUCAGCAUGUUAAAGUGUGUUUGGUUACCAAUGAGCCUCAGACCUAUGAGAAAGUUGAAAGUUUACCUCAUGAGGAAAGGAAGAAAUGGCUGCAUACUAUGGAGGAGGAAUUAGAAAGCAUGAGGAGGCUAAAUGUCUAUAAACCAACUAAGUUACCAGAAGGUGUAAGACCAAUAGACACCAAAUUGGUAUACAAACAGAAGGUAAAUUCUGAAGGUCAGGUGCGCUACAAAGCACGAUUAGUGGCAUGGGGGUUUAUUCAGAAGAAGGACAUUCAUUACUCUGAAGUGUACUCACCCGCUCUUAACCCUAAUUCGUUAAGGAUAGCUUUGAGUAUAGCGGCAAGCUUAAAGUUAAAGGCCAACCACUUUGAUAUCAAUACUGCAUAUCUUAAUGCAGAUUUAAAGGGGAAUAUUUACAUUAAAGCACCUCCAGAACUCAAGAACAAUGAGUCAAAUUCAUUUUACAAACUGAACAAGGCUCUUUAUGGAUUACGGCAAUCUGGUCUUGCUUGGUACAAUUGUCUUAAUGAAAGUUUAUUGAAAAUAGGUUUUGUUAGAAGCAGAGCAGACCCAUGUGUAUAUACUAGAAAUGUUAAUUGUGAUCAUCAAGUUCUUUUAGUUUAUGUUGAUGACCUUUGUUUUAUUGCUGAGACUGAUAAAGAAGUGAACCAUUUUGCUGAUGAGUUAAAGCAGGGGUCCCCAAACUAA
rnacentral:lncRNA from 1 species